CGAGUCCGCCAGGCAGCCGCGGCAGGAGCGCACCUGUCGAGGAAAGUCCGAGCUCCGCAGAGCAGGGUGCCGGGUAACACCCGGUCGGGGUAACCCGAAGGAGAGUGCCACAGAAAAGACACAGCCGGUGGCAACACCGGCGAAGGUGAAAUGGUGGUGGUAAGAGCCCACCAGCGGCCGGGAGACCGGCCGGCUAGGUAAACCCCACUCGGAGCAAGACCUAAUAGGAGGACGAAUCGGCUGGCUCGGCCGGUCCUCGGGUACGGUCGCUUGAGUCGUCGGGCAACCGGCGAACCAGACGGAUGGCUGCCCCUCCGGUGCGUGCCGGCUUCGGCCGGCGAGGCGGAGGACAGAACUCGGCUUAUCGGCGGACUCGCUCU
rnacentral:RNase_P_RNA from 1 species